UGAGGUGCAUGUUUACUUAUUUAGACUCACGCGAUUGACAAAGAGCGUGAUCAACGCGCUUACUUUCUCGUCACUGCGACUCGAUGAGCCGUUCUUCUCGUCUCCAAUUCCUCGCCACCAUGUUGUAUCGCUUUGCUAAUACGAGAGGUAGAAAAACUAGAAGCUUUGCAAAUGGAUCAAACACCAGAGGGAGAGGCCAGUUCGUUACCGGAGACUCGCACUUACGUUCUGUCCGUCAAGGAAGCUUCUCUAACCAGCCACUUCAGCAACCGCCGCCGUCUAAUCAAAAUCAACAGUUCCGCUAUCCUCGUCCAUCGUUUUAUCAAAAUCAAGCAGUGCGGUCCCACCGUCGUAAGCCAUUGGAUUAUCGGGCAUGGGAGUACGCCAAGGUACCGCCGCCUCCAAAUUCUGAGCGGUUUUUAAUUCUCUCGUAUAAGUUGCUGGCCGACUACCUCGCUAUUGAUCACCGGGGCAAACUUUACCAUCACAUACCGCGUCACAUGCUAGACUAGGAGUGGAGGAAGAGAAGUAUAAUUUUUGAACUUGGAUUAUGGUCGGCAGACGUUAUGUGUUUUCAGACUUAGAGUCAGAGUUGAGGAUUAGAGGUUACAGUAGCAUUUGGAAGAUGCGAACUGGAAAUGCCAUUGAUGGAUGUGCAAUCUUUUGGCGAACAUCAAGGUUCGCUGUCUUCCUGUUUUUAUAGGUCUUGUUAAAUUUUGCAGUACUUGGCUUACUUCUAUCAUUUAAUUUGCUUGAUUCAUGGCAAUAGAUCUUAUUUUAAAUAUGUAGUCUCUUUUCUUUCAACCUCCAUUCUAACUUAUGAUGAGAUGUUGUCAUUUAGUGCAGCAAAGUCAUGGUUACUAGUCCUAAAGUGCCCCUGGGGAAGCUAGAAUAAAGUUUAGAGUCAUGCAGCCCUUUGGGUUAUAGAAGUUCCUGUUUACUAGGAGCAGUUGAAAUUAUAUUAAUAACCUCUUGUAAUGGCUAAUUAUAUCAAGAUAUCUCUGGUAUCUAUCUUUUAUCUCACUCUUGAAACUUGCUCAUAUAUUCUCUUCUUUGAUAUCUGUAAUAACAUCCAGUAGCUAUAAGGACUUUUUUCUACUUGGUUCUACUGUAGGUAAUGUCCGAAAUUUUGUCUCCAUAAUACUGGAUUCUAGUUAGUAUUUGGCUGCAUAUGUUUAGUUAGACUAUUUUUUAAUUCUUUUUCCUCUUGGUUUCUACUGGUCUCAAGAUUUCAAAUUAUUAUAUUGAAGUUCAACUUUGAUGUUCUUCUCAUAUUACUUAUAAAAAAAUUUUAUUGGUAAUGUAGUCUGAAAGUUCAUUUAAUGAUCUGUAUAUUAGAUUCAAAUUGCUGUAUGAGGAAUCCAUAGAGUAUAAUAAACUCAGACUUCAGGAUAAUGUUGCACAGAUAUGUGUGCUUGAGAUGUUGGGUCAAAAUUUCAAUGAAAAUGGACUGCCUCUCUCAACAAGGUAACUCAAGAAAUUAGUAAAACGCUUGUUUGUAUAUAUCAGGCUAAAUAUUUUCAUAAAUUUGGUAUGGAAUUAUCUCGAACAUCUUUUUGCUGUUUUUCACAAUAGUCGACGUGAGCAUUGCUGGUAGAAGUAUAUGAUCAAUAAACAUGUAUAUCUAAUAUCCGUGAUUAUGUAAAAGUUGUCUCUUCUUAAUUGAUUUCAUAUCCAUAAUAUUAAACACCAUUGAUAUAAAUCUUACUGGGUAUAAUUGCAAUUUGAUGAUCAAAUGAAAUGUUAAGAUUUGUGGUUUUGAUCUAUUCAAAGUAAAUUCUAAUCAUUUGAAUUAAAGGUUUAACUAAUGCUUAAUACUAUCGGUAAAGGACUUCACACUAAUGUUUCUAGGCGUAUUUGCUUCUUCACCUUAGUCCACUAUUUCGUUCUGGAAUUAAUUUUAAAUUAUUACUUCUUCAAAAUACUUUGCUUCGUAUACAUCAUAAGGUUGAUUUAGUAGAUAUCAAGACUACUCAAUCAUGGUUAUCUGUUUGAUUGUAAACAUUAAUGAUGAAAACAUAUAGGGGUUAGUCACAUCAAAACUGCUGUCCAAAUGUUGUGGGGAUACCAUUUCAUUAGCUUGUACUCUGAAUUUCCAGUUCAGCUGGUUCUAGUAAGGUUGUCAUCUGUAACAUUCAUGUGCUUUACAAUCGCAAAAGAGGGGAAAUAUAGCUUGGCCAGGUAUGAACUGGACUCACAUCCACACCUAUAUCAGUUAAACUAGGUGAAUUUGCCUUAAUUAUUAUGUCAUUAUAUCUUCAAUAGGUUAGGACACUUUGGAUAAUGCUUAUGCUAUUUCAAAGAUUUGGAAUGAUGCUCUAGUUCUUCUUUGUGGGGAUUUUAAUUGUACACCAAAGGUGAAUCACUUCUUUCACAAGUAAAGCGUCAGUUAGCAUUAUUUAAUGGGAAAUUUCUUUUUUUGUAUUUGUUGUUUAUGGACAGUAUUGGUAACUUUCGUCUUUUUAUAUGCUUUGAGUUUGAUGCCCUAACUAUAACAUUUUUGUUUUGGUGAGAGUCCAUUAUACAACUUUUAUUUCAGAGCUGAAGUUAGAUUUGUCUGGAGUCGAUAGAGAUAAGGUGUCAGGGCAAGCUUCUGCUCAAAUUCGUUCAUGGAAGCCAUAUAAUCCGAAUCCCGGGUGGGGUUUGUAAAAGGUCCAGCCUGCUGGUGGUUCAAUACAAGGUCCACUGGUGGUAGGUGAGGGGGAAGUUGGUGUUAAGCUGAGUGAUCCUCUCUCUGACAUGCAGAAGAACAAAGAAUAUGGUGAUGCUGAAAAUGUUCCUUUUUUGAACAGC